AUAGUAUAGCUACUUGGUCAUUUAGAGGAAGUAAAAGUCGUAACAAGGUUUCCGUAGGUGAACCUGCGGAAGGAUCAUUAGUGAUUUGGCACCUAGUGCCUAAAACACAAUCCAAUACCUCUGUGAACUGUCAGCCCUCGGGCUCAAACAUUGUGUAAUGAACGUCAAUAAUAUAAUCUAAUAAAAACUUUCAACAACGGAUCUCUUGGCUCUCGCAUCGAUGAAGAACGCAGCGAAAUGCGAUAAGUAAUGUGAAUUGCAGAAUUCAGUGAAUCAUCGAAUCUUUGAACGCACCUUGCGCCUUUUGGUAUUCCGAAAGGCAUGCCUGUUUGAGUGUCAUGAACUCUCAAACCCCCCUCGGGUUUUCCGAUCGGGUUGGACUUGGGUNCUGCCAUCAUGGCUCACCUUAAAUGACUUAGUGGAUGUCUCCCCCAGUCAAUGUAAUAAGUUUCAUUGGCGAAGGGUUCAGUCUAGCUCACAACCGCUUUACUGGCAACAUUUGUACUCUGACCUCAAAUCAGGUA
rnacentral:rRNA from 1 species